GCCCGCCGCCAGCCAGCUUCAAGCACAUCCCAUCCCACACGGCCGGGCGCAGGGCAGGCCCGCCGGAGCCAUGGAGGACGAGGUGAUCCGCAUUGCCAAGAAGAUGGACAAGAUGGUGCAGAAGAAGAACGCGGCUGGAGCAUUGGAUUUACUGAAGGAGCUUAAGAAUAUUCCCAUGACCCUGGAACUAUUACAGUCCACAAGAAUUGGAAUGUCAGUGAAGGCUAUUCGCAAGCAGAGCACAGAUGAAGAAGUUACAUCUUUAGCAAAGUCUCUCAUCAAAUCCUGGAAAAAGUUAUUAGAUGGACCAUCAACAGAUAAAGAUUCUGAAGAAAAGAAAAAAGAUACUGCAGUUACGUCACAGAAUAGCCCUGAAGCAAGAGAGGAAAGCAGCUCUAGCGGCAACAUGAGCAGCAGAAAGGACGAGACCAAUGCCCAGGACACCUAUGUCUCAUCUUUUCCUUGGGCGCCGAGCACUUCUGAUUCUGUGCGGUUAAAGUGCAGGGAGAUGCUCGCUGCUGCUCUACGAAUGGGAGAUGACUACAUCGCCAUUGGAGCUGACGAGGAAGAAUUGGGUUCUCAGAUCGAGGAAGCCAUCUAUCAAGAAAUAAGGAAUACAGACAUGAAAUACAAAAAUAGAGUACAAAGUAGGAUAUCAAAUCUUAAGGAUGCCAAAAAUCCAAAUUUAAGGAAAAACGUGCUGUGUGGGAACAUUCCUCCUGACUUGUUUGCUAGAAUGACAGCAGAGGAGAUGGCUAGUGAUGAGCUCAAAGAGAUGCGGAAAAACUUGACCAAAGAAGCUAUCAGAGAGCAUCAGAUGGCCAAGACGGGCGGGACCCAGACGGACUUGUUCACGUGCGGCAAGUGUAAGAAGAAGAACUGCACCUACACACAGGUACAAACGCGGAGUGCUGAUGAACCCGUGACAACGUUUGUCGUCUGCAACAAGUGUGGAAACCAGUGGAAGUUCUGUUGAGCUGGAAGCAUUGGCAAAACAUCUCGACCAUUAAGAAGAUGGAUUUUGUAGUUAGCUUUAAGACUAGGUCAACUCGCUAGUUUUCCUGCAAAUGAGAUUUUUAAAGUAACUUGCCUCCCUUGGGUUAGUCUCUGAUUUUGACAUACUGUCCCUUCCUUAAACGCCUUCUGCAGUUUCAGGAAGACACACUGGGAGGAAGAUGUUAGCGUUUUAGAAUAGUGUGGUUCCUGUGAACAGUUCCUGACUUGACUUUGAUUUGGAAAUCUGUCCUGACUGAGGACUUUAAGGCUUAUAGAGAUCAUUAAGCUGUGGUCUUUCCAUAUGGAGACUGACGGGGCACAUUUCUGUCCUCACUGACUUGCUGCCUCUGUUACACAGGAGUAAGGCUGAGGGACAGACAAGUGCGUGGGCUAUAACACGGCCCACGUUUAUGGGACGGACCUUGCAGUUAAGUGUGUGCCAUCUGCUUGAUUGGGAAUAAGGAAGAACGAUCUCAUGCUGGCUGUCGCAUAUCUUGAGUCCCCAGUUAUGAGGACCACAUCUCAUCCUGCUCCAUCUCCACUUUCCCACCCCUAUGGAAAGACUUCAGAACCAGCUUGCACGCCCCCCCCUCCCCGCCCCUCCACUGCUCACCACAGGUCAGUUUGAUGCAGUAGAGGAAACUUCCAGAAGUCCACAUGAAGAUCCCACAUGUAAGAAUUGGCCACUGGUGCCGUACCACCUCCACUUUGUCAGGUCAUAGAGUAACCUUUUAUCACUUGGAAAAUAACAUGAAUUUUUGAAAGAAUGAGUGUAAGAAGAAUAAAAUAGUCCCACUUUUAAGUGAGCCAUUUUUAAAUUUGUAAUUCAAUAAAGUUUCUUGUUAUUAAACAUGAAA